rnacentral:rRNA from 1 species
GAUGAACGCUGGCGGCGUGCUUAACACAUGCAAGUCGAACGGAAAGGCCCAAGCUUGCUUGGGUACUCGAGUGGCGAACGGGUGAGUAACACGUGGGUGAUCUGCCCUGCACUUCGGGAUAAGCCUGGGAAACUGGGUCUAAUACCGGAUAGGACGAUGGUUUGGAUGCCAUUGUGGAAAGUUUUUUCGGUGUGGGAUGAGCGCGCGGCCUAUCAGCUUGUUGGUGGGGUAAUGGCCUACCAAGGCGUCGACGGGUAGCCGGCCUGAGAGGGUGUACGGCCACUUUGGGACUGAGCUGCGGCCCAGACUCCUGCGGGAGGCAGCAGUGGGGAAUAUUGCACAAUGGGCGCAAGCCUGAUGCAGCGACGCCGCGUGGGGGAUGACGGCCUUCGGGUUGUAAACUCCUUUCGCUAGGGACGAAGCGUUUUUGUGACGGUACCUGGAGAAGAAGCACCGGCUAACUACGUG